rnacentral:rRNA from 1 species
CGCCAGACUCCUACGGGAGGCAGCAGUGGGGAAUAUUGCACAAUGGGGGAAACCCUGAUGCAGCGACGCCGCGUGAGUGAAGAAGUAUCUCGGUACGUAAAGCUCUAUCAGCAGGGAAGAAAAUGACGGUACCUGACUAAGAAGCCCCGGCUAACUACGUGCCAGCAGCCGCGGUAAUACGUGGGGGGCAAGCGUUAUCCGGAUUUACUGGGUGUAAAGGGCGUGUAGGCGGGAAAGCAGGUCAGAUGUGAAAACCAUGGGCUCAACCUGUGGCCUGCAUUUGAAACUGUAGUUCUUGAGUACUGGAGAGGCAGACGGAAUUCCCAGUGUAGCGGUGAAAUGCGUAGAUAUUAGGAGGAACACCAGCGGCGAAGGCGGUCUGCUGGACAGCAACUGACGCUGAGGCGCGAAAGCGUGGGGAGCAAACAGGAUUAGAUACCCUAGUAU